rnacentral:misc_RNA from 1 species
GAUCAGGUUGAUAGGCUAGAGGUGUAAGAAGAGUGAUCUUUUCAGCUGACUAGUACUAAUAGAUCCAUUGACUUUAGUUUUUUUCUUUAUCUUUGUUUAUCUAGUUUUGAAAGAAUUUUAGAGAUUCU